rnacentral:sRNA from 1 species
UCAUACAACAAAAGCCCUACCUCUCUUUUGUCCUUGCGGCUCCGAAGACCGCGCCAGUUUGAAUGAAAAUAAAA